rnacentral:tRNA from 1 species
GCCUGGAUAGCUCAGUUGGUUAGAACUUGGUGCUGAUAAUGGCAAGGUUGCAGGUUCGAUCCCCAUAUAGGACA